rnacentral:rRNA from 1 species
UCCAACCUACGGGGGGCAGCAGUGAGGAAUAUUGGUCAAUGGCCGGAAGGCUGAACCAGCCAAGCCGCGUGAAGGACGAAGGUGCCAGGCAUUGUAAACUUCUUUUGUCAAGGGACAAAAUCAGGCUCGAGAGCCUGACCGAGGGUACUUGAAGAAGAAGCCCCGGCUAACUACGUGCCAGCAGCCGCGGUAAUACGUAGGGGGCAAGCGUUAUCCGGAUUUACUGGGUGUAAAGGGGGCGCAGACGGCGAUGCAAGCCAGGAGUGAAAGCCCGGGGCCCAACCACGGGACUGCUCUUGGA